ACCAACGGAAAACAAUUUGUUCGGAGUAGAAGCUGUCACCGGCUAUUACCACGUGGAACGUGAAGAGCCGUUGCAGACCUCCGCUCCCCGAUUCGGGCAGGCCUGCUCCCAUCUCACUUGACAGCUGUGGACAUUGGAAUAAUACAAAACAUAACCUAAUCAACAGACUGUGAAAAAUCUGAAAGCUAAAGACAGAUGUUCUGCUGCCAUCACUACCUUUCAUAGUUAAUUAUAUUUAUGUGGGGGGAAAACAAGUGAUAAGUCAACUCCUUUAAGAAGGCCUCCUUUCCUAUUAAUGGUGGCACUGUCAUUGUCUUGGGCUUACAAUCAAGUCAUCAUACCUGCCAAGUGAUGAUGAAAUUGAGCAUUUUUCAUGCUCACUAAGGUACUCUGCAUUAUCUCAUGUACUCUUCACUGACCCUAGGAGACAGGAGGAAGAAGAACCCCAACAAGAGAGCAGUAAGCAGCAGACAAGUCCCGGAGUUCUUGGGAGCUGGGAUAAAGUAACAACAAAAGGGGAAUGAAAAAACUGUCCACAGUUCAAAAUCUGAAGGAAAUUCUAUUCCUUUAACAGUAUCCAGCUGUCCCCUGGGAGCCAUUUCCUGGUGACUCCUGAGAAGCUUCAUUGAACUUGGUCCAGCACAGUACCUGGCACAUGGGCAGAGAUCAAGGACUCUUAAGUGAAUAAAGAAAAGCAAGUCCUAGGAUCAGGUUUGCACUAACGUGUCUGGGGAUCCUAAAGAAGUGGACAAGCCAACUCAUCCAAGGGCACCAAGCAAGUCAAGCAAGACUUUUCUGGAUACUUAUGUAUGCAGCCUCAAACCAGGUGCUAAGUCUGUAUUAAGAUAAGUCUAGAGGAGGCAGAUGUUAGGUAUCUGUCCUCAAAAUUCAGAAUCUGAUCUGGUUCCAUCUUCAAAAGCAUUUCUUAUAUGUUAUACCAAGCCACCAAUGAUGUAAAUAAAACAUUCAGGUUUCUUGCAGAAAUGUUACUCCACUAUUCUUCAUGCAAUAAUGCAGCACUCUGUAACAAGCUUUAUAAUGAGGCUAUGAAUUAAAGUGAUGCAUGGUUUUUCUGAGGUACAAUAUGCAUCACAACAGCCUGUAUUAACAAUUUAAAACCAUAUAAUGUGCUUUAUAAGCUAAUAAAGUAGCUGCCUCUAAAUGAUUUAUCAAAUAUGAAUAAUGCAUCCAGAAAUAACUCACAGGAACAGGCCAGGCACCCUCCCCUCCUUUGCUCACUGACUUUCUCCACAGAUGAUACUGAGGACACAUAGGAACUGAGUUACUG